UACGUAGGGUGCAGGCGUUAAUCGGAAUUACUGGGCGUAAAGCGUGCGCAGGCGGUCUGCUAAGAGAGGUGUGAAAUCCCCGGGCUUAACCUGGGAACUGCGCUUCUAACUGGCAGGCUUGGGUGUGGCAGAGGGGGGUGGAAUUCCACGUGUAGCAGUGAAAUGCGUAGAGAUGUGGAGGAACACCGAUGGCGAAGGCAGCCCCCUGGGCUAACACUGACGCUCAUGCACGAAAGCGUGGGGAGCAAACAGG
rnacentral:rRNA from 1 species